rnacentral:rRNA from 1 species
UACGGGGGGGGCAAGCGUUUUUCGGAAUUACUGGGCGUAAAGGGCUCGUUGGCUGCCAACUAAGUCAUACGUGAAAUCCCUCGGCUUAACCGGGGAACUGCGUCUGAUACUGGAUGGCUUGAGUUCGGGAGAGGGAUGCGGAAUUCCAGGUGUAGCGGUGAAAUGCGUAGAUAUCUGGAGGAACACCGGUGGCGAAGGCGGCGACCUGGGUGGAUACUGACGCUGAGGUGCGAAAGCGUGGGGAGCAAACAGG